GAUGAACGCUGGCGGCGUGCCUAAUACAUGCAAGUCGAGCGAACAGACGAGGAGCUUGCUCCUCUGACGUUAGCGGCGGACGGGUGAGUAACACGUGGAUAACCUACCUAUAAGACUGGGAUAACUUCGGGAAACCGGAGCUAAUACCGUAUAACAUGUUGAACCGCAUGGUUCAACAGUGAAAGACGGUCUUGCUGUCACUUAUAGAUGGAUCCGCGCCGCAUUAGCUAGUUGGUAAGGUAACGGCUUACCAAGGCAACGAUGCGUAGCCGACCUGAGAGGGUGAUCGGCCACACUGGAACUUAGACACGGUCCAGACUCCUACGGGAGGCAGCAGUAGGGAAUCUUCCGCAAUGGGCGAAAGCCUGACGGAGCAACGCCGCGUGAGUGAAGAAGGUCUUCGGAUCGUAAAACUCUGUUAUUAGGGAAGAACAAAUGUGUAAGUAACUAUGCACGUCUUGACGGUACCUAAUCAGAAAGCCACGGCUAACUACGUG
rnacentral:rRNA from 1 species